AAUUGAGUCGCAGCAUCAUUAACUUGGCCGUAGCAUGUAUAUAUAAUACAUGUCUCUUAACUAGAGUCUAAUUCUAAUUAAAUUAGAAUUACACUCCUAAUUAUAAUUCAUAUAUGCCAAAUUAAAUCUAAAUAAUAUCUAAUCCCAAUUAGAUUAUAAUUUAUUCUCAAUUUAGAUAACUACAAAUCUAAACCAAAUAUAACAGUAGUAAAUUGAUAUUUUAUCCUUCACAAAUUUUUACUUUAAUAUACCUGCUCGUCGUAAUGCGCGGAUCACUAUACUAGGAAUUAACAUGAGUUAGAGUAAAGCAUGGAGAAACGGGCUCCCCCAAUAGGAAUCUAACUUUAAUUUGCUAAAUAAAUUUUCAUGAACCUGGUUUGCAUGCACUAAAUCAAUAAUAACAAAAGAAUCCAUAUUUCAUAACAUUAACAACUUAAUUUAGGCUUCGUUUGGAAAAAUACCCUGUUUGUUUUUGUACGUAAUAUUGCGUUCUGCAUAUUACAGUUAAUCGGUUAUGAUAUAUUUUUUACGGUCCCAUCGGAUAACGCAGAAGUAUAUCCUUAUAUACUUUUUCUCAACUUCAUUCUAUGAUUCUAUCUAAUAGCGUUAGAUAAAUCUUAAUACCAAACUAAGCCUUAAUAGAAAGAAAUACAGUACUCGAGCACUU
rnacentral:lncRNA from 1 species